UACGGGGGGGGCAAGCGUUGUUCGGAAUUACUGGGCGUAAAGGGCUCGUAGGCGGCCAACUAAGUCGGACGUGAAAUCCCUCGGCUUAACCGGGGAACUGCGUCCGAUACUGGAUGGCUUGAGUUUGGGAGAGGGAUGCGGAAUUCCAGGUGUAGCGGUGAAAUGCGCAGAUAUCGGGAGGAACACCAAUGGCGAAGGCAGCUCGCUGGGACGGUACUGACGCUGAGACGCGAAAGCGUGGGGAGCAAACAGG
rnacentral:rRNA from 1 species